rnacentral:snRNA from 1 species
GUGCUCACUUCAGCAGCACAAGUACUAAAAUUGGAAUGAUACAGAGAAGAUUAGCAUGGCUCCUGCGCAAGGAUGACAUGAAAAUUCAUGAAGCUUUCCAUUUUCUA